rnacentral:rRNA from 1 species
GACGAACGCUGGCGGCGUGCUUAACACAUGCAAGUCGAACGGAAAGGCCCUGCUUUUGUGGGGUGCUCGAGUGGCGAACGGGUGAGUAACACGUGAGUAACCUGCCCUUGACUUUGGGAUAACUUCAGGAAACUGGGGCUAAUACCGACCGGAUGCUCUUCCUCCUGGGUGGGGGUGGGAAAUUUUCGGCGGUUGGGGAUGGACUCGCGGCUUAUCAGCUUGUUGGUGGGGUAGUGGCUUACCAAGGCUUUGACGGGUAGCCGGCCUGCGAGGGUGACCGGCCACAUUGGGACUGAGAUACGGCCCAGACUCCUACGGGAGGCAGCAGUGGGGAAUAUUGCACAAUGGGCGGAAGCCUGAUGCAGCAACGCCGCGUGCGGGAUGACGGCCUUCGGGUUGUAAACCGCUUUCGCCUGUGACGAAGCGUGAGUGACGGUAAUGGGUAAAGAAGCACCGGCUAACUACGUG